CUUUAUAUAGUUUAAAUUAAAACAAUACAUUUUCAUUGUAAUGAUAAUUAAAAGAUUUAUAAAUG
rnacentral:tRNA from 1 species